GGAACACUUAGCUCAGUUGGUUAGAGCAGUGUGUUGAUAAUGCCAAGGUUGCAGGUUCGAUCCCUGUAUCCCU